ensembl:snRNA U2 U2 spliceosomal RNA
AACGCUUCUCUGCCUUUUGGCUAAGAUCAAGUGUAGUAUCUGCUCUUAUCAGUUUAAUAUCUGAUAUGUCCUCUAUAUGAGGAUAACUUAUUAAGCAGAUUUUUAGCAUUGGGAGAUGAAAAAGGAGCUUGCUUCGUUCACUCCACGCAUUGACCCGGUAUUGCAGCAUUGCUGGGAAUGGUGCACCCAAU